GCCGCAGACUGUCAACAGCCAGGACGUUAGGACGCCUGACAAAGCCCUGGAGUGUUAAAUUCGCGACCAGGCCGGUGAGAUAGCGUCUGAACUCCCCUCGUGGACGGCGACUGACGGGAUUCUGGGACUCUCCUGUGAACGAAACGCAACACAACGGUAAGCAAACCGAGAGCAUCUCUAUAACCGCGUGAGUGAAAGUUGCUAGCUACUGACUGGCUUUGCCGCCAUUUUUAAGGAGGUAGAGUGGUUUCCUCGCCAAAGUUUUAAAGAGGGUUAAGACGGUUUCCCCACUGAAAGGAGGAUAGAGCUCUAUAAAAAAUAAAAAGGAUCUCUGCAGUUAGUUGAGUGUAUGGUUUCUCCACCAAUGGUAAGGAGGGAAAGAGCUCGCCGCGGUAAGGGAGGUUAUGGGCCUAUAAAGAGUGUGAAUGAGCGUAUGUGCGUGUGUGAGUGCCAGUCAAGUGAACCAGCAACACAGAAGGAAACCUACGCGGUGUUAACGGAAUUCUGUGACCUGUUGUGUACACAUAGCCUGGGUUUUGAGACACUGAGCAAGAAGACGAUGAAGAGGAUGAUGAGGGUGAAGACAGCAAAGAAAAUGAAGGUCACCCUGAGGAUGGUGGGAGGAUGAGGAGAGGACAGAUUUCUUACAUUUCAAUUCUUUACAGUUUUUGUCCUUCGUGCUUUUGAACCAUCACACCAGGAAAGCUGAUUCUUUUUGUCUCUUUCUGAUAAUAAGACGUCGUGUUCAGCUGUCUUUAUCAUGCAGUAUAGUAAACAUGUUUCAGUGUGAAUGUUAGAAAGAUGAGAUUUUACUGUGAAGCUUUUUUAUACCAAGGGAAUCAUAAACACUUCAGUGAUGUAAAUAAUUCUCUCAGAAGCUGGAAACUCCAAGCAAAACUCACUGAACCAUAAAUAACUGUAGAUUCCAAUAUGAUGAGAAAUGAGGGCUGAAAUGUGAGGAGGUUUCAGACUGUGCAGACUUAUGGACGUAUCAUAGAUUUGGAUUAAAUGUGGUUUAUGAAAAGUUCAUGACUGGUUUGUAGGUUUCCCCUCAUUGGCUGUCUGACCUGCUGACUUACACAGGUCAGCUUCACUGUUUGAUUCUGAUAGCUGAGCUCACACAGGCUCUGUGAUCUGCUGUGUUUUGUUAGAAAUACUUUGACUCACAGAAAAAGCUGCUCAGCUCUUGUUCUGGACACAUUUGGG
ensembl:lncRNA